rnacentral:rRNA from 1 species
UACGGGGGGGGCAAGCGUUGUUCGGAAUUACUGGGCGUAAAGGGCUCGUAGGCGGCCAACUAAGUCAGACGUGAAAUCCCUCGGCUUAACCGGGGAACUGCGUCUGAUACUGGAUGGCUUGAGGUUGGGAGAGGGAUGCGGAAUUCCAGGUGUAGCGGUGAAAUGCGCAGAUAUCAGGAGGAACACCGGUGGCGAGGGCGGCUCUCUGGGACGGUACUGACGCUGAGACGCGAAAGCGUGGGGAGCGAACAGG